rnacentral:rRNA from 1 species
AGCGAACGCUGGCGGCAGGCCUAACACAUGCAAGUCGAACGAAGUCUUCGGACUUAGUGGCGGACGGGUGAGUAACACGUGGGAACGUACCUUUUGGUUUGGAACAACUCAGGGAAACUUGAGCUAAUACCGGAUGAGCCCUUAGGGGGCAAGAUUUCUCGCCGAAAGAGCGGCCCGCGUUAGAUUAGCUAGUUGGUGAGGUAAAGGCUGACCAAGGGUACGAUCUAUAGCUGGUCUGAGAGGAUGAUCAGCCACACUGGGACUGAGACACGGCCCAGACUCCUACUGGAGGCAGCAGUGGGGAAUCUUGCGCAAUGGGCGAAAGCCUGACGCAGCCAUGCCGCGUGAAUGAUGAAGGUCUUAGGAUUGUAAAAUUCUUUUACCAGGGACGAUAAUGACGGUACCUGGAGAAAAAGCCCCGGCUAACUUCGUGCCAGCAGCCGCAGUAAGAC